GUGUGUGCAGCACCCGUGUGCGUGCGUGCGUGUGUGCGCGCGCGCGUCCUCGCGCGUAUGUAUGUAUGUAUGUAUGGGCGUGCGUCUGUGUAUUUUGAAUUUAAAAUGUUUUAACUCGGAAGGAUCUGGAUCACAGGUCAUUUCAUCUGAGAUCAAUCCGCACGCAACAGCUGGAAUCACUUACUGGUUCACACAAGGAAGGACACAAGUCACCCGUUUCCUCAAGUUCACGUCAGAGGGAUACAUAGCGAGACAGUCUCCGCUUGGACUGGCUGAGGAAAGUCUCCUAAAUGGCCCUGGAGAUGUUCUGACUGACUUUGGAGGCUUUUUGGACUGUUUUAUGCCCUCUAUUUAAAGACUUAAUUCUGUAUGUUCAGUCUGUAUGAUAAGUGAAUAAGUGAAUAAAAAGCUUUUGUUUUUAUGUGA